rnacentral:rRNA from 1 species
GCAAGUCGAGGGGUAACAGGGAGCUAGCUCCGCUGACGACCGGCGCACGGGUGCGUAACGCGUAUAGAACCUACCUUUUACAGGGGGAUAGCCUUUAGAAAUGAAGAUUAAUACCCCAUAGUACUAUUUAUUGGCAUCAAUUAAUAGUUAAAGAUUUAUUGGUAAAAGAUGGCUAUGCGUCCUAUUAGCUAGAUGGUAAGGUAACGGCUUACCAUGGCAACGAUAGGUAGGGGCCCUGAGAGGGGGAUC